rnacentral:lncRNA from 1 species
UUUCAUCCCUUUAUUUAAUGAGUUAAUAUAUAAAACUAUCCACUUUCAUAUUGUAAAGAUAAAAAUUGUCCACUAAGAUAAAAAUAAUAAAAACUAUCCACUUUUUGAUUGAAAAGACAGAAAUACCCUCUCUUAAAUACAUGUACUCUCUCUUUCUCUCUCUCAUUCUCUUCUCUCUCCCUCCACGCAUCUUUCUCCUCUCUCAUUCUCUUCUCUCUCUUUCUCCACGCAUCACCGUCGCCGACCUCCGCCGCAUCUUCCCCAUGUGCCCGGAGCUCCUCACCUCCUCCUCCACC